GCGCGUGUCCUCUGGCGACUCUCUGCUCCGUGUAGUAGCGCGGACGGAGGUAGGAAGAAACGGAGCUCUGUUGAUAUCAUCCACUACUACUCCGACCAAAAGGCACGGCUGAGGGAGAACAAUAAACAAAGUCAGAGACACAGAUCUAGCCUGACAAGGAUCACCGGGACACACAAAGUACAAGAGUCCUUCUUGUGACAGCAGAUUUGAGGACAGGCUCUGAGUCACAGGACAGCUGUUCUCCUCCCUCUCUAGAUCCAGGUCCAUUCCGGGUGUUGACAGAUGAAAUGGUCUCAUUGUUGGCUCCAGCAGUCGAACCAUCCCACAGUUUCUAUGUAUUAUCCUGCUUCUCUUCUCCAUUAAAUGCAAACCAGCUUUUCGAGCAUGUGGACACUGAUGCUGCGCUGCCAAAACAUUAUAGCACAAAUCUGCCCCCCCACUCCACCCACCUCCCCUAGCACCA